GGCAAGGGGAGGGCUCCUCUGGUCUGACAUCGUCAUAAAGGAAUCCCCUGCACGGUGCGGGGCCGCCCACUCGCUUACUCUCACCCCGUCUGGCUCCCAGACACACUCGCGUUAACGCGCACUCCUGUCUGCGCAGUCGACGGACGGACGCAGGCGAGAACGCGCGAGACAGCGAGGAAGCAACUAGUGAGGCUCUGGAGUCCAACGCACGCGGACAGUCAGGGACACAGGAAAGGAGUAAAAACUCCUCACUCAGACGAGCGCUUCACGCUCACUUCACCGCAAUCCCGGCAACCUGUUGAUCAGGACGGACGUUUGCGCCGAGCGAGAGUAAUGCGCGCCGCUGUUUAGAUGUGCCGCAGUGUUUGCGCUGGAAUAUUACGCUGUUCUGAGGUCUGCCACUGCGGAGCGGCUCCAUUACAAAGGUCAGACGUAAAUAGUUCCUUUGAAUGGGAUGGCUGCAUUUCAGUGUGUCUGUGUCUGCCUUCCUGUCUGUUUGAUUCAAGAGCCCCCCCCCCACCACCACCACCACCACCUCUGUGGCUGACUCUUUUUAACGCGUCGUCCGCUCCUGCCCACGGGUCACGUUUAUCUGCCUGCGUGCGUCCCUUUAGUCGGCGCGGGGGCGUCGGCGCAACGGAGGCCGUAAAAAAAGUUCUAGACGCGCUGCCGAGAGACGUAAUGGCAGUGGUGAAGCGAGGCCGGAGCCGCUCAAACAUUCCUCUCAUUGUUCAGAGGCCCCGUAAGUCCGCGAGCUCCCAAACCUCCAUGAAAGGAAGGGAAUCCAGCAGCGGCCGCUGGAGCCACUGACCCAGAUGCAGCUGCUGCCCGGCUGCGUCGACGCGAAGGUGAAAACGGAGUUAACGUGAAUAACAAUAAUGACUUAUUACGGCUCAGCAUUGGUAGAAAGGAAUGGGAGGAGGUGCUUUGCCCUGUUAUGUGACUGACGGUGACUUGAGAUAAACUCUACUCUAAGGACAUGGGAAAAGGGGCUGGUUGGAUGCACUGUUAUUCUUCCUUUCACGUUGAGAAACGACUAUGUUGGAAAAUGUGCCAUGGAAGGAGAGAGAGGGGGGGGGGCGAUGGAGAACGGAGAGGAAGGUGGGGACCUGGCGCGCUGGCCGCUGGUUGGGUGGGUGGGUGUGCCCGGCAGCGAUCCGGAGGAAUGGGCCCCGGCUCAGGAAACCGUGGCGUAGUGGAAUAAAUGUGUGUGCGAGAGGCGCUGCAUCCCUUCGUGCAUGUGCGGUUCGGUGGCAGCGGGGCGGCUGUGCACUAAGUACAGGGCGGGCGGUGGUGGUGGUGGCGGUGGUGAGGGUGUUUGGCAGUGAAUCAGGCCGAGGAUAGGGUUACACGCACUGGGCUGCAGGGAGCGGACCACGGGCGUGGGCUGGGCUCCUCGCCGCUGAGGAGACUUUCUCCUUUUUUUAAUUUUUUUUUUUAUCUCGAGCUGGAAAUACUUUUUUUUUUUUUUUUUUAAUCUGAGACUAAUGUCACACAUGUGGCGUUCCACUGAUUCCAGGCCAGCCAAUCAACGCGCCGCCUUUGAUUGAGAGCAAACUAGAAGGGAGCGCAGGGCCCACGUGUGAAUGUCACUGAAUGUCACGGCCUCGGCGAUAAUUACGCCCUCGCACGCGACGUGAAACAAACACGGGCUCCAUCCGCUCGUGGGAGAGCCAGGGCGUGGUGCCGUGUAAGGUGUGUGGGUUCAAAGAACCGGGCUCGGGUCGGGGGGAUGUGCGCUGCUCAUGUCGCCGCAGUGGUUUCGAGCGUGGUCGGAGCCGAAUUCGGAUCCAGCCGACUGCGACUGCGCCGCACUUCAGACCCAGGAUCAGCUCCUGCUGCGUCAGGCGCCUGUGCUCAGGUGAUCCGGUUAAUACGGUACCUCCGCGCGCGCGUUCCCACACUCGCUGCGCUUAUCAGCGCAGGCGUGUUCCACAGGUGCGACGGACACGGCAGCAAUUAGGUAAAGCAAACGCGGCGCAUUUACACUCGUCGUGACCCUGACGCGGCGGCGGAUCCAUUUCGCACUUUAAAAACCCUCUGAUGCGAUGGAAAGAUUCUGCAAAGACGAGCGCUUUGGUUUGAUGAGCGCGGCGGCCCGUGGGCCCCCGUGAAGCGCUUCACGGCCCGAAGGCGUGAAUGAUGUCACAUCAGUGUAUUUGUGUCGCUCCCGCUUUAUGACUGUGUGUGUGUGUGUGUGUGUGUGUGUGUGUUAAUGUUGCAAUCCAGCUGUCUCAACAGAGGCUUUUCCACUUAACUGUGUGCCCUUGUGUGAGCUGCAAUGUCGGCUCAGAGCACAGCGCCGCCGCCGGGGCCACGUCCGCACGCCGUGCGACCCGUCAAAGCUCCACCGGGGCGCAUCUGCCGACGCUACGUCUCCGCCAGGAUGCCGCUAUAAUAAGCGGCCAGUUUGAUCCUCGCAGAGGAGAGUCUGAGGCGAGGCGCUGGACGGCGUGUGUCGGCCCGAAUGCCAUCAUUACAGGGGAAGGGAAGGAAUGAGCUCAUAGACAUUAACGGCUGCGGGUUCGACGGGGGGAGCGCGAGGGGGGGGGGGGGGGGGAGAAACCCGUGGAAAAGAUGAAAAGGCGGAGAAAAUAACACAGGGGAUGAGCGACUGCCAGAUGAAAGGACGGUUCAGGCCGACGGAGGAGAGCAGUUGGAGGAGGGCCUUCGAUGGCUGCCGGGACCUUAAACGACCUCCAGUCUCGUUGUGGCGCUCACGUUUAUUGCGCGUAUUCCCUCCAGUGAGCUGCGGCUGGAGUCAAGGCGGCCUAGUCAGACAUUCAGCGUUCGCAGGAGAGCGAGGCCCUCCUGGAGCAGCUACAGCUUAUUUGGAGCGUGGACUUCCCCGGACGCGUCCCACUGACUCACACCGGGCACAUGGUGGAAUAUUAAUGCCGCCGAAAAUAAAAAGGGCUCCAAGAGGCGCCCAACAGGGAGAGAGAGCCGAAGGUGGAGGUGAUGCUCAAAUAUAUAAAUGUGUCUUGUCCAGACAAGUAGAACUCAGCAAAGGGGAAUCUGGAGUAAUCGUAGUCAUGUGUUCUGAUGAGUGGAUGAGUGAAUGAGCUGCUCGGCGUUGCGUCAGCUUGGUUUCCAUCUCACCUAAUUCUGAGUCCAGUCAUCGAGGAGCUUUCGCUGUGAGCGGCCGCAGGACGCCAUGACGGAGCUCCAUGAGACGCCAUGACGGAGAUCAGAUCAGCAUCAGAUUGUGUUUGGGCUUCCUCCCACAGUCUGUUGACCAGGGGAAUUCCUGGCAGAGUGAUUUUUGAGACUACAGGACUGAAUCACAUUGCCAGGGAUUUCCAAUGGCUGACACGACCAAAGCGACUCUCUCGCGCCGGGUCCCGCCCGCGCCAACGGACCUGGCCGUGCGGCGGCAGGACUUAGCCCACAUGUGAACAGUUAGCGUCACGCCGUGUUCACAGUGGUUAAGUUCUGCCGCCACAGGGCCGCGGCCGGCGGGGGCGACGGGGAAGGUCAGGGAGGGGCCAGCGAGAGCAGACCUCAGACCAGCGGCACAUCUGCUCCCCAACGCCAUUUUAGAUCCGCUCUAAUAUGAAAUUGGUCGCAUGUAGUGGUUCCUUGUGAAUUUUCUUUCAGCCAAGAUGAAUGGACACUUCCUGCAGUGACUUUUAUUAAUCAUAAAUAUCCACCACCUCAGUUCUUCUAAAGAAGAAUAUUGUAAGAUUAGGAACUCUUUACACUGUGACUCCUUUUGAAGGUUUGAAUAAAAAUAGACUCUUAAGGGGUUAUUUUCCUUCACCUUAGUCCUAAUAAACUGUAAAUUCAAAUAUUUAUAAAAAAAGUAUUUUUGUUAGGAGUAAAACUUGAUAAGGUCCCCUAUUCCAGCGGUCUGGGGUCAAUGAGGAGACGUUUCUCAGACUGAUUUCUGACACAGCGCGUUGAAGGUCGACCUCGCGUGUCACUUGAUGCCUUGCGCUUCAUAAAUGACUCACUACUACGGCUGCGAUGGUUGUAUGGGAGCGGUUAUCACGGUCUGUGUGCUUCUGGUAACUACUUGCUGUCUGCUGAAUUAGUUGGAAGUGUGCUGCCGUGGCACGUGUGUGUGUGUGUGUGUGUGUGUGUGUGUGUGUGUGUGUGUGUGUGUGUGUGUGUGUGUGUGUGUGUGUGUGUGUGUGUGUGUGUGUGUGUGUGUGUGUGUGUGUGUCUGCUAAAUGUCAGCUGUCUCAUUAGUGAUGAAGACUGCUCCUGUUGCUGUAGGGCGAGCAAUAUGUCAUCCUGGGUGGUCAUUUGUAUCGGUCGCUGCCAGGGCCUCUCGGGGCCUGUGUGUGUGUGUGUGUGUGUGUGGCUGUCUGUCUGUCUGUCAAUCUGCGUUUGUGUCAUCGUCUGUUGACGUGUACACCUGCUUGUUUCCGCACGAGCAUCAGUGUCUGUUUGCUCAGCUUUUGGUGUGUGUGUGUGUGUGUGUGUGUGUGUGUGUGUGUGUGUGUGUGUGUGUGUGUGUGUACGCGUCCGCCACCCCACCUUCCCCACCCCCUGCUGGGUCAGUCUCCUGUGCCUGCUGUGCUGAUAAUCAGUGUGUGACGUCGGCUGGCUCAGUUCAGCAGGAACAGGGGACUGGUCUCACACCCCCCCCACACACACACUUCACGUUGUCACCGCUGUAAUAAAUGUACUGUGUCAUCCUAAUGUCUAGAUGUGUGUGUAUAUGUUUAAUUUCAUUCACUGAAUGGCCAUUUCAGAGCAAAUUCAAACACUUGCCUUGGUGCUUUACUUAUUUAUUAUUAUUAUUAUUACUUAUUAAAGGUUUUAUUAUUUAUUUACAGACUACUAACAUUUAAAAUGUUCUAUAAAUGUUACAACAAUUAUAUAAAUUAGAAUGAACUUACAUUCUGAAACAGAACUUGCUAUGGCAUAAAUAUGUAGUGUAUCUCAAGCUGCAUUGCUUUAAUUUUGUUUUUUCUCUAUGUAACACAAAGGUUACUGUGUCUUUUUGUGUUUGUAUAUGUGUUCAUUAAAAAUAAAGUGAAACAUAGCCCCCA